rnacentral:lncRNA from 1 species
GCCUGUGCUUGUGUUGUUUAACUUCAUCGAUUUUUCUAUCACUUAAAGCUGCUAUUAGAUUAAACUUUCAGCGUUUGUCUAAAGUUGUUUAGUAGUUAGGGUUAUUUAGAUCGCUUGUUUCUAUCUAACUAAAAUUAAGGAAAGACAUUGAAGUAAUUCCAACGGUGAAUAUUCAAAAUACUAAUUAUUUAUGCUUGUGUCAAUGAUCAGUGUAAAUUUCUGAAGGUGAAAGUUGAUACACUCAUUAUUCUUAUAUUUUUAUUUAAGGUGCAAUUAAAGGAUUCCGUGACUUUGGAAGUGCUUUGGAGACAAAUUGAGCAUUAUUUGAACUUAAAAUAAAAGGAGGGGCAAAGUUGUAAUUACGCGAGCACAGAAAUUUAAUAUUUUAUUACAAUAAAG